rnacentral:rRNA from 1 species
UACGUAGGGUGCGAGCGUUGUCCGGAAUUAUUGGGCGUAAAGGGCUCGUAGGCGGUUUGUCGCGUCGGGAGUGAAAACCCAGGGCUUAACCCUGGGCUGGCUUCCGAUACGGGCAGGCUAGAGUUCGGUAGGGGAGACUGGAAUUCCUGGUGUAGCGGUGAAAUGCGCAGAUAUCAGGAGGAACACCGAUGGCGAAGGCAGGUCUCUGGGCCACUACUGACGCUGAGAAGCGAAAGCAUGGGGAGCGAACAGG